GACGAACGCUGGCGGCGUGCUUAACACAUGCAAGUCGAACGGUGAAGGGGCCUGCUUUUGUGGGCCCUGGAUGAGUGGCGAACGGGUGAGUAACACGUGAGUAACCUGCCCCCUUCUUCUGGAUAACCGCAUGAAAGUGUGGCUAAUACGGGAUAUUCUGGGUCUGUCGCAUGAUGGGUCUGGGAAAGAUUGCGCCUUUGGGUGUUUGUGGUGGGGGAUGGGCUCGCGGCCUAUCAGCUUGUUGGUGGGGUGAUGGCCUACCAAGGCGGUGACGGGUAGCCGGCCUGAGAGGGUGGGCGGUCACACUGGGACUGAGACACGGCCCAGACUCCUACGGGAGGCAGCAGUGGGGAAUAUUGCACAAUGGGCGCAAGCCUGAUGCAGCGACGCCGCGUGAGGGAUGGAGGCCUUCGGGUUGUAAACCUCUUUCGCCAGUGAAGCAGGCCUGCUCCGUGUGGGUGGGUUGACGGUAGCUGGAGAAGAAGCGCCGGCUAACUACGUG
rnacentral:rRNA from 1 species